GACGAACGCUGGCGGCGUGCUUAACACAUGCAAGUCGAACGGUAAGGCCCUUUCGGGGGUCCACGAGUGGCGAACGGGGGAGUAACACGUGGGUGAUCUGCCCUGCACUUUGGGAUAAGCCUGGGAAACUGGGUCUAAUACCGGAUAGGACUACGCGAUGCAUGUCGUGUGGUGGAAAGCUUUUGCGGUGUGGGAUGGGCCCGCGGCCUAUCAGCUUGUUGGUGGGGUGAUGGCCUACCAAGGCGACGACGGGUAGCCGGCCUGAGAGGGUGUCCGGCCACACUGGGACUGAGAUACGGCCCAGACUCCUACGGGAGGCAGCAGUGGGGAAUAUUGCACAAUGGGCGCAAGCCUGAUGCAGCGACGCCGCGUGGGGGAUGACGGCCUUCGGGUUGUAAACCCCUUUCAGCACAGACGAAGCGUAAGUGACGGUAUGUGCAGAAGAAGCACCGGCCAACUACGUG
rnacentral:rRNA from 1 species